rnacentral:rRNA from 1 species
UCCGAAGGGUGCAAGCGUUACUCGGAAUUACUGGGCGUAAAGCGCGCGCAGGCGGUCCUUUAAGUCUGAUGUGAAAGCCCACGGCUCAACCGUGGAAGGUCAUUGGAAACUGGGGGACUUGAGUGCAGAAGAGGAAAGCGGAAUUCCACGUGUAGCGGUGAAAUGCGUAGAGAUGUGGAGGAACACCAGUGGCGAAGGCGGCUUUCUGGUUUGUAACUGACGCUGAGGCGCGAAAGCGUGGGGAGCAAACAGG